GAUGAAGAACGUAGCGAAAUGCGAUACUUGGUGUGAAUUGCAGAAUCCCGUGAACCAUCGAGUCUUUGAACGCAAGUUGCGCCUCAAGCCAUUAGGUUGAGGGCACGUCUGCCUGGGCGUCACAUAUCGUUGCCUGAUGCCAGUUUCCUCGUGAUGGGUGACUGUGCAGGGCGAAUGAUGGCUUCCCGUGAGCAUUGUUGCCUCAUGGUUGGUUGAAAAUUGAGUCCUUGGUAGGGAGCGCCGUGAUAGAUGGUGGUUGAGUGACGAACGAGACCCAAUCAUGUGAGACCCCUACCGAAUUUGGCCUUCAUGACCGACAUGCGUCUUUGGAACGCUCAUGACGAGACCUCAGGUCAGGCGGGGCUACCCGCUGAGUUUAAGCAUAUCAAUAAGCGGAGGA
rnacentral:misc_RNA from 1 species